rnacentral:rRNA from 1 species
GACGAACGCUGGCGGCGUGCUUAACACAUGCCAGUCGAGCGGAAAGGCCCGGCGUUUAUUGGGUGCUCGAUUGGCGAACGGGGGAGUAACACGUGAGGAACCUGCCCUUGUCUGUGGGAGAACUUCAGGGGACUGGGGCUAUAACCGGAGAUAAGCUGCUGCUGCACGUGGGUGAUUGGUAAGUGUCGGUGGUGUGGGCUGGACUCGCUGGUUAUCAGUUGGUUUGUGAGGUAGUGGCUUACCAGGGCUUUGACGGGUAGGCGGCAUGGGAGGGUGACCGGCCACCUUGCGACUGAGAGACGCAGCAGACUGCUACGGGAGGCAGCAGUGGGGAAUAUUGCACAAUGGCGGGACGCCUGAUGAAGAAACCCCGCGUGCGGGAUGACGGCUUUCGGGGUGUAAACCGAUUUCGACUGUGCCGAAGCGUGAGUGACGGUAACGGGUCAAGAAGCACCGGCUAACUACGUG